GUGUGUUAGGUGUUAAUGCAGCGUGUUGAGUUGGUACCCAGCUGUCUGUAGAAGUGGUGUGUUAGGUGUUAAUGUGGUGAGUUGGUACCCAGCUGUCUGUAGAAGUGGUGUGUUAGGUGUUAAUGCAGCGUGUUGAGUUGGUACCCAGCUGUCUGUAGAAGUGGUGUGUUAGGUGUUAAUGUGGUGAGUUGGUACCCAGCUGUCUGUAGAAGUGGUGUGUUAGGUGUUAAUGCAGCGUGUUGAGUUGGUACCCAGCUGUCUGUAGAAGUGGUGUGUUAGGUGUUAAUGUGGUGAGUUGGUACC